UUAAGCGACUAAGCGUACACGGUGGAUGCCCUGGCAGUCAGAGGCGAUGAAGGACGUGCUAAUCUGCGAUAAGCGUCGGUAAGGUGAUAUGAACCGUUAUAACCGGCGAUUUCCGAAUGGGGAAACCCAGUGUGAUUCGUCACACUAUCAUUAACUGAAUCCAUAGGUUAAUGAGGCGAACCGGGGGAACUGAAACAUCUAAGUACCCCGAGGAAAAGAAAUCAACCGAGAUUCCCCCAGUAGCGGCGAGCGAACGGGGAGCAGCCCAGAGCCUGAAUCAGUGUGUGUGUUAGUGGAAGCGUCUGGAAAGGCGUGCGAUACAGGGUGACAGCCCCGUACACAAAAAUGCACAUACUGUGAGCUCGAUGAGUAGGGCGGGACACGUGGUAUCCUGUCUGAAUAUGGGGGGACCAUCCUCCAAGGCUAAAUACUCCUGACUGACCGAUAGUGAACCAGUACCGUGAGGGAAAGGCGAAAAGAACCCCUGCGAGGGGAGUGAAAAAGAACCUGAAACCGUGUACGUACAAGCAGUGGGAGCACGCUUAGGCGUGUGACUGCGUACCUUUUGUAUAAUGGGUCAGCGACUUAUAUUCUGUAGCAAGGUUAACCGAAUAGGGGAGCCGAAGGGAAACCGAGUCUUAACUGGGCGUUAAGUUGCAGGGUAUAGACCCGAAACCCGGUGAUCUAGCCAUGGGCAGGUUGAAGGUUGGGUAACACUAACUGGAGGACCGAACCGACUAAUGUUGAAAAAUUAGCGGAUGACUUGUGGCUGGGGGUGAAAGGCCAAUCAAACCGGGAGAUAGCUGGUUCUCCCCGAAAGCUAUUUAGGUAGCGCCUCGUGAAUUCAUCUCCGGGGGUAGAGCACUGUUUCGGCAAGGGGGUCAUCCCGACUUACCAACCCGAUGCAAACUGCGAAUACCGGAGAAUGUUAUCACGGGAGACACACGGCGGGUGCUAACGUCCGUCGUGAAGAGGGAAACAACCCAGACCGCCAGCUAAGGUCCCAAAGUCAUGGUUAAGUGGGAAACGAUGUGGGAAGGCCCAGACAGCCAGGAUGUUGGCUUAGAAGCAGCCAUCAUUUAAAGAAAGCGUAAUAGCUCACUGGUCGAGUCGGCCUGCGCGGAAGAUGUAACGGGGCUAAACCAUGCACCGAAGCUGCGGCAGCGACGCUUAUGCGUUGUUGGGUAGGGGAGCGUUCUGUAAGCCUGCGAAGGUGUGCUGUGAGGCAUGCUGGAGGUAUCAGAAGUGCGAAUGCUGACAUAAGUAACGAUAAAGCGGGUGAAAAGCCCGCUCGCCGGAAGACCAAGGGUUCCUGUCCAACGUUAAUCGGGGCAGGGUGAGUCGACCCCUAAGGCGAGGCCGAAAGGCGUAGUCGAUGGGAAACAGGUUAAUAUUCCUGUACUUGGUGUUACUGCGAAGGGGGGACGGAGAAGGCUAUGUUGGCCGGGCGACGGUUGUCCCGGUUUAAGCGUGUAGGCUGGUUUUCCAGGCAAAUCCGGAAAAUCAAGGCUGAGGCGUGAUGACGAGGCACUACGGUGCUGAAGCAACAAAUGCCCUGCUUCCAGGAAAAGCCUCUAAGCAUCAGGUAACAUCAAAUCGUACCCCAAACCGACACAGGUGGUCAGGUAGAGAAUACCAAGGCGCUUGAGAGAACUCGGGUGAAGGAACUAGGCAAAAUGGUGCCGUAACUUCGGGAGAAGGCACGCUGAUAUGUAGGUGAAGUCCCUCGCGGAUGGAGCUGAAAUCAGUCGAAGAUACCAGCUGGCUGCAACUGUUUAUUAAAAACACAGCACUGUGCAAACACGAAAGUGGACGUAUACGGUGUGACGCCUGCCCGGUGCCGGAAGGUUAAUUGAUGGGGUCAGCGCAAGCGAAGCUCUUGAUCGAAGCCCCGGUAAACGGCGGCCGUAACUAUAACGGUCCUAAGGUAGCGAAAUUCCUUGUCGGGUAAGUUCCGACCUGCACGAAUGGCGUAAUGAUGGCCAGGCUGUCUCCACCCGAGACUCAGUGAAAUUGAACUCGCUGUGAAGAUGCAGUGUACCCGCGGCAAGACGGAAAGACCCCGUGAACCUUUACUAUAGCUUGACACUGAACAUUGAGCCUUGAUGUGUAGGAUAGGUGGGAGGCUUUGAAGUGUGGACGCCAGUCUGCAUGGAGCCGACCUUGAAAUACCACCCUUUAAUGUUUGAUGUUCUAACGUGGACCCGUAAUCCGGGUUGCGGACAGUGUCUGGUGGGUAGUUUGACUGGGGCGGUCUCCUCCUAAAGAGUAACGGAGGAGCACGAAGGUUGGCUAAUCCUGGUCGGACAUCAGGAGGUUAGUGCAAUGGCAUAAGCCAGCUUGACUGCGAGCGUGACGGCGCGAGCAGGUGCGAAAGCAGGUCAUAGUGAUCCGGUGGUUCUGAAUGGAAGGGCCAUCGCUCAACGGAUAAAAGGUACUCCGGGGAUAACAGGCUGAUACCGCCCAAGAGUUCAUAUCGACGGCGGUGUUUGGCACCUCGAUGUCGGCUCAUCACAUCCUGGGGCUGAAGUAGGUCCCAAGGGUAUGGCUGUUCGCCAUUUAAAGUGGUACGCGAGCUGGGUUUAGAACGUCGUGAGACAGUUCGGUCCCUAUCUGCCGUGGGCGCUGGAGAACUGAGGGGGGCUGCUCCUAGUACGAGAGGACCGGAGUGGACGCAUCACUGGUGUUCGGGUUGUCAUGCCAAUGGCACUGCCCGGUAGCUAAAUGCGGAAGAGAUAAGUGCUGAAAGCAUCUAAGCACGAAACUUGCCCCGAGAUGAGUUCUCCCUGACCCUUUAAGGGUCCUGAAGGAACGUUGAAGACGACGACGUUGAUAGGCCGGGUGUGUAAGCGCAGCGAUGCGUUGAGCUAACCGGUACUAAUGAACCGUGAGGCUUAACCUU
rnacentral:rRNA from 1 species